UUUCAUUAGGAGGCGACAUGGGUAUCCGGUAGUGGCUUCCCGUCAGUUCUUCCUUUCGCCAGCGAGCACGUUACUUUCCCGCUUUCUUAUAUUUGGGGAAACGGUCUGUGUGUGUGUGACUGUGACUCGCGUCUGGCUGUGUGGUGUAUGUCGCACCAAGAGAGAGAGGGCUCACUCCAGCACGUUGCGACGAAUUCACGAGAAGGCGCCGGCUGUCUUGCCUGUCACAAGACGCCAGCUGACCAGGACUCGGAGUGAGAAGGCAACGAGCGGGCACCUGCGCAGCUUGUCGGCGCGUUAUAGCUUGCCGGGGUGACAAUAAGAGCUGUGGGUGUUAUGUACGCAGCCAGUUCGCUAGGAGCUGUUUCCUAACCCCCUUGUCUCCACUCUCGUCUGUACUGGACAUCGUGCACAGUGACCGGCGCAGUGUGGUGUCCAGCAUAAGUACUACGUGACCUGGGUAUCCACUGGAGUGGCGUCGUCCAGAGUGGCUGGCGUGGAUACUGCGUGGCUGGCCCGCGUCCGCUAUCUUGUGUGCAUGUGUGCUAUCUUGUUGUGUGCAUGUAAUCUUGUGUGUGCGUGUGUGUUGUGUUUGUUGCGUUCUGGUGUAUGUAUGGUGCUGUGUAUGUGUUGUAUUUGGUUGUCCUUGGUGGGUGGUGACACUCAAAGCACUUUUCAUUCAUGAGGAGCGGGGACUCAUGCCACUGUUAGACCAUUCCGCUGGGCUCACCCCUAGUUCGCCCUUUAGUGAGUGUGUGUGUGUGUGUGUGUGUGUGUGUGUGUGUGUGUGUAUAUAUAUUUUCAUGGCAUGUGUAACUUGCUCGCUCUUUUUCACCAAUCAAAACAGUCUUUGAUCUCCAGCCGAUGAGAGCGAGGCGGCAUCACGUGACCGGUGGAUUGGCGUGAACCCUCGCUAGUGACAGGUGGAGAGCUCAGUGUGGAGGUGGCAGUGGUGGUGGGUGUGUGGUUCCGUGAAUAUUCGGAAAUGUUAUUGAAAGAUACAUGUAUACAUACCUACAUUUACUCACUCGCACACGCACACCUACAUACAUCAUACAUGUAUACAUACCUACAUAUUUACUCACACACGCACACCUACAUACAUCAUACAUGUAUACAUACCUACAUAUUUACUCACACACGCACACCUACAUACAUCAUCAAUCCAUACACUGCAUUAUCAUCUGUGCAACGAAAGACAAGGUAACGCACGCACACGCCGAAGUAAAUUGACGUGACUCGUUUAACCUUACUUAACCUAAUUAUUAGUGAGUGACUCGGUAUUUGACGGUCCUGAAUCGUCCUGUGUUACUCUGCCCUCACCACAACACCACCACUGACACUAUAUCAACCCCACUAGGACAGUGAAAUCCGCCAACACCAACCCUGGCAAAUGUAAACAAGACCCCCCCGCCAGCCCCCUUCUCUAUCAUCACCCAUUAUCUGCCUUAUUU